rnacentral:rRNA from 1 species
UACGGAGGGGGCUAGCGUUGUUCGGAAUUACUGGGCGUAAAGCGCGCGUAGGCGGACCUGCAAGUCGGGGGUGAAAGCCCGAGACUCAACCUCGGAACUGCCUUCGAUACUGCGGGUCUCGAGUCCGGGAGAGGUGAGUGGAAUUCCUAGUGUAGAGGUGAAAUUCGUAGAUAUUAGGAAGAACACCAGUGGCGAAGGCGGCUCACUGGCUCGGUACUGACGCUGAGGCGCGAAAGCGUGGGGAGCAAACAGG